GUUAAAUUCAUCAGACUUAUCCGUUUCACCGGUUCGUCAGGGCCCAUGAGAUUGGUCUCGAUAAUGUUGUGUCCUUUCCUCUGUUUCUACGGUUGUUGAAUUCGGCGGAACGGCUUUACAUCUGAAUAGUAAUAUGAGAAAAGAAGGUCAGGUUAUGCAAAGGACUACAAUGACGAGCAUCAUAACAGACUACAGAGGCAAAAGUACAAGAAAGCAAGACAUCGGCGAUCACAACUGACUCAAAAACACACCCUCUCAGCACUAUAACAACGCAUGUGAAUGUUGUCACCAAUUAUAUUUUUCCAUCACAGUAUGCUUGGUACCUUGCCAUGGAGGCACCGUUUGACUUCACUGUUAUAGGUAGGCAUUAGAUUAAAUGAAAAAAGAGCUGACGAUUGAAACGAUACGUUUAAAAUAAGAAUUGGAUUUUUGACAUAUGUAAGGUUACAACAUAAAAGAAAUCAUACUUGUAUACAUAUUUUAUCAUUGUCAAUUCUUGGAAUAUCCCCUUACUUUAGAAAGACAUGCCUGUCCUCAGAAAAUGGUGGUGCACAGUACUGCUUGAGAACUUCCACCUGGAUGGGCCCGGCAGAAGGUUCCCACACUUCAUGGAGGAGGCCAAACAAAUGGCGGCUGAACUACUUCCACCAGUCUUCAGACUGAAGCGAAAAAGAGAAGUGAAUGACGUUUCCAGUGACAGAAUACAAAUAUUAUAUUGUAUAGGCUUAAUAUUGAUUUGACUGUUUGAUUCUUUUGACAGUGAGUUGGAGCUGAUGGCAGUCAGCAUGAAGAAGCUAUAUCUUUAAGCUUCUGUAGAUUAUUUGUUAAAUAAAUUGUGAGGAAAC
ensembl:lncRNA